UGGCGCGGUGAAUACGUUCCCGGGCCUUGUACACACCGCCCGUCAAGCCAUGGAAGUCAGGGGGACCUGAAGACGGUACCCGUUAAAGGAGCCGUUUAGGGUAAAACUGGUAACUGGGGCUAAGUCGUAAACAAGGUACC
rnacentral:rRNA from 1 species